rnacentral:rRNA from 1 species
UACGUAGGGGGCAAGCGUUGUCCGGAAUCAUUGGGCGUAAAGCGCGUGUAGGCGGUCCGGUAAGUCCGCUGUGAAAGUCGGGGGCUUAACCCUCGGAUGCCGGUGGAUACUGUCGGGCUUGAGUACGGAAGAGGCGAGUGGAAUUCCUGGUGUAGCGGUGAAAUGCGCAGAUAUCAGGAAGAAUAUCCGUGGCGAAGGCGGCUCUCUGGUACGGCACUGACGCUGAGACGCGAAAGCGUGGGGAGCGAACAGG